UUCAGCUCCCUGUGAAACAUGAGCUUGAUCCAAAGUCCACAGCAGUUAAAUCAAGCCUUGUGCUAACAUGAAGAUGUUUUGGAUUCCUUUCCAACUACUCCUUAAGCUGCCACAACAGCUAGGAGAGAUGACCUGGGCAUUAGGAUUCUGCAGUGGUAACUGGAAAAGAAAACUCAGUCAUUAAGUCAUGAUAACCAACAGCAACAGUUUGUGACAACAGUUCUAAUCUUUCACACUCUGCUGAGAGGAGCAGGGGAACAAGGCACUGAAGAUUACCACCACAGCUGUAUUUUAGGAAGGCCAAGGAACAAGGAGUCUAAGCAGCAAUUCAGUUCUGUUUCUCUCUUCUCCUAUCAAGGAGAAGUGACCAGGUAUCCACCAUACUUCAGGAAAGUCUGGAAAGCAAGGACAACUUUGUUUUUUAUAAGAGGCCUCUGCCAGUGUACCAGAACCUGGACCUACAGUACCAUAUUAUGCUAUCCCCCUUCUUCCCGUGCCCGCCCCCCCCCCGCCGGAGGAGGAUUGUGAGAGAAGCUAAAGCACUGCCACCUUGACAUAAAUCUAAUGACUCUUCUCUCUCAGCAUCACAUUCAUUUGAGCUAGAGGAUAUGUUUAAAUGCAGUUGAAGAGACAGACAGAAAUAAGCUUCACAGAAGUAUAAAAUACAUGAAUCCUCCAUCAACAUCCAUCUAGCCCAAAUUUAGGGAAAAAAAAGUGCAAUAUAGUACAAAGUUUGCUUUUUGUAUAGAAGUUAGUGCUUGAAACUUAAUUUCUUGUACCUUUAGUUUAUAGAAAAAAUUCCAGUUCAAAAAGCCCACGUUUUAUUCUUUCAGUUAGCCACAAGAAAAGCUUGUAAUAUGGAAGAGAGCAGUGAACAGACAAAAGAUGCACCUUUGGUCAUUAUGCCCUAGAAUAACUUAAGAAAUGUCACUCAGGAUUGGUGCUGAGGCUCUGAACUGCAGUGGGGGAGUUAAAUCUCUUAUUGUUCUUCCUACUGUAAUAAAAAUACAGAAAGAGUGAAAGAAGCCUGAGAAAUCAACCGAGAAUAGAAGCAUUUGGCAAAAUCCAAGACCCACUUGCACUGGCAGCCUCUUGGUUAAUGCUUCCAGUGUCCAUGGGUAACUUUGGCCCUCCCCAUUGUCCAGUACAAGAUUGACAGAAUGCUCACAGAAUAGCACUUCACUACCAAAAAAAAAAAUGGAGAUAAGGAAUACAACAACUACGGUAAAUACAGUGUUUCACGUAACUUACCCAGCAACUUGCAAGUGUUGGCGAAAUGAUACAUCCAUAGGAUUAUAUCACUUGUAGAUCAAAACCAAAGAAUUUGGAGGGCAUUAAACUGCAUAAACUUGGCUUACAGAUAAAGUUAAACAGCACCUACUUUUACAGUGGAGGCAUUUAUAAUACUGUUUUCUAUUAAUUUCAAUACUCUGUAUUACACGACUAUUCCAACUUUUUUCUGUGUGUGUUAUUCAUCUGAACAAGAUCUCUUUUCACCAGAAGUAACGGAAAGUAUGGGAUUUAUUGCUAUAAUGAAGUUCUUUCAAAUCUCUGUUUUCUCUCUCUCUAAAGGACAGGAGGAUAGGCGUUCAUCUCAUCAGGCAGCUUAUUAGGAUUAGCACUGAAUAAGACACCACAGAAUGUCAAGCCUAUCAGUUACUAAACAUGCAUCAUACAAACUUUGUCUUUGCGAGAACCUCUGCUCUGCAUUUGUCAUCCACCUGAAUAAUUAACAAGUACAUGCUGCCUGCCAGCAGCUUAGGGAAUUAAUUUUCCCAGAUUAAAUGCAGAUCACGUCUGCAAAAAACUCAGACCACACACAUGCUGCACUACUACCUUUCAAACAUUAAAAGGCAAGGAAACAAGUUUUAUUAUGUUCACAGCUGAGUCUGACCUAAAAAUUUAUUUAUUAUAGAUAUGACUUCAUAAUCAUUAUGAAGUGGUCAGAGGGGUUUUAACACCCAACUAAUGCA